CCAGCAGUCAAGAAUAUUAGUCAACGCUAGUAAGAGUGAACUAGCUAACAGAAAUCAUAGAAUUUUUUAAAAUUCAUGAUGUCGUAAGGGAAAAUAAUGAUAAUACCUUACUAUGAGUGUCGUCCAAAUCUGGUGCCAGAAGACUCGGUAAGACCAGAGACGCAAACGUUAAUCAUCAUAAACAGGCGUAAAGGGUUUGUAGGCAGCUUUUAUAGGAUUAUUCUAAAAAGGUAAUCUAAAUUAAAAGCUAGAAUCAAAAAGAGGUUAUAGUGUAUAACGCCUAGAGGAGGGCUGAUAUCCGUAGAUCCUAGGCAGAAUACUCAGGGCGAAGGCCACUCUCCAUUAAUGAUUGACGCUGAGAAACGAAGGUUAGGGUAGGAAAUAGGAUUAGAUACCCCGGUACUCCUUUCUGUAAACGAUGAAUGGUAGUCAUUAGUAAAAAUAACUAGAGGCGAAGUUAACACAAUAACCAUUCCGCCUUGUGAGUACUACUGCAAAGUAGAAAACAAAAAAAUUAGUCGGCUCGAAGCAAACGGAGUGAAGCAUGUUAUUUAAUUCGAUAAUCCGCGAAAG
rnacentral:rRNA from 1 species